rnacentral:rRNA from 1 species
AGAGCGGGAGCCCGGAGAUGGGCACUGAGACAAGGGCCCAGGCCCUACGGGGCGCAGCAGUCGCGAAAACUCCGCAAUGCGCGAAAGCGUGACGGGGCUACCCCGAGUGCCGUCCGCUGAGGAUGGCUUUUCCCCGGUGUAAUGAGCCGGGGGAAUAAGGAGAGGGCAAGUCUGGUGUCAGCCGCCGCGGUAAUACCAGCUCCCCGAGUGGUAGGGACGAUUAUUGGGCUUAAAGCGUCCGUAGCCGGCUUGGCAAGUCUCCUGUUAAAUUCAGCGACCUAAUCGUUGAGCCGCGGGAGAUACUACUAGGCUAGGAGGCGGGAGAGGCCGACGGUAUUCUCGGGGUAGGGGUGAAAUCCUAUAAUCCCGGGAGGACCACCAGUGGCGAAGGCUGUCGGCU